AGGGCAUUUUAUUUGAGCAUUUAUCAUUUUCGUUUUCAAUUCUAGGAAGUGUCUGGCUUUAAUGGCUAAUUGUAGCCAUAUUUACAAGACACUAGAAAUAUAUUUUAUUUUUUCCGGGAUGUUAAACAUUUGCAAAUAUUUACUACUUCAUCUGCCUUAGUUCAUGUAUUCAGAUUUAUAUCGUCCAAACUUUUGUUCUAAUGUAAUUUUUUUUUUUUUUUUUUUUAAUUUUCUUCUAGGUUAUGAUCAAGUUUAGGACAAAACAAAUAGUUGUUAAUGUAUUAGAUGCUAUUAACAUUUUCGUCAGUAGUACAACGAAUAAUCUGAAAUUCAUCAUAAAUAUUUCUCUGUUUCUACUGAAUCUAUCUUCAUUACUGAAAGAAAUGAAUUAAAGGUUGACAUAGUUAUUGAUGAUGCCCACACCAAACCCAACCCUAAGGUAAUCCCCUCUCCUUAACAUGCACAAAUGUAUAUAUGUGUACACAAGACUUUGCUGGUGGUCAUAGUGCAGUGACCGAUGGGAUGGCGGUGGUUUGGAGUUGGGAUAGAGGUCAAAUUGACGGGUCAAAGGUGGAGCCGAUGAUAUUAGUUAUUGUGGGUUGGCCAAAAGAUAGUCAAGAGCUAAGUCUUCUUCAUAGUAGUUCUGGUCCGCCUAUAGAGGGGAAGCCUUAAGCACUAGCCUAUUCGACGUCGAUGAAGGAGUUGAGGUAGUUCUCUCUCAACGU
rnacentral:lncRNA from 1 species